GGCCUUGACAUACUAAGAACUUUCCAGAGAUGGAUUGGUGCCUUCGGGAACUUAGAUACGAGGUGCUGCAUGGCUGUCGUCAGCUCGUGUCGUGAGAUGUUGGGUUAAGUCCCGCAACGAGCGCAACCCUUUUCCUUAUUUGCCAGCGGGUCAUGCCGGGAACUUUAAGGAUACUGCCAGUGACAAACUGGAGGAAGGCGGGGACGACGUCAAGUCAUCAUGGCCCUUACGGCCAGGGCUACACACGUGCUACAAUGGUCGGUACAAAGGGUUGCUACCUCGCGAGAGGAUGCUAAUCUCAAAAAGCCGAUCGUAGUCCGGAUCGCAGUCUGCAACUCGACUGCGUGAAGUCGGAAUCGCUAGUAAUCGCGGAUCAGAAUGCCGCGGUGAAUACGUUCCCGGGCCUUGUACACACCGCCCGUCACACCAUGGGAGUUUGUUGCACCAGAAGUAGGUAGUCUAACCGCAAGGAGGACGCUUACCACGGUGUGGCCGAUGACUGGGGUGAAGUCGUAACAAGGUAGGCGUAGAUGA
rnacentral:rRNA from 1 species